rnacentral:ncRNA from 1 species
GUCACAGUGACGAAGGGAAGAAGUACCCAGCCACAUCCCGUCUCCAGAGAGCUUUCGGUCGGUGCGAGAAAGCAGACGGCGGCAGGCGAAUACAUCCCGGAGCUGCCCCCUGAAAUGUGCGCGUCGCAUAGUAGGGGUGUGUCGGUUGCGCCCGUUAUCGCGCAGGGGCGUAUUGGCGCUCCGUAAGGCCGGUUUUGUGAGAAGCCGGUGAACCAGAGGUGGUACCGCGUUUGUUCGCCCUCUGU